CACGUAGGGGGCAAGCGUUGUCCGGAAUCAUUGGGCGUAAAGAGCGUGUAGGCGGCCAGACAAGUCUGCUGUGAAAACUCGAGGCUCAACCUCGAGCUGUCGGUGGAAACUGUCUGGCUAGAGUCCGGAAGAGGAGAGUGGAAUUCCUGGUGUAGCGGUGAAAUGCGCAGAUAUCAGGAAGAACACCGAUGGCGAAGGCAGCUCUCUGGGACGGUACUGACGCUGAGACGCGAAAGCGUGGGGAGCGAACAGG
rnacentral:rRNA from 1 species